rnacentral:rRNA from 1 species
CUGCGAAUGGCUCAUUAUAUCAGUUAUAGUUUAUUUGUGGGUGGGGGACUAAUUGGAUAACCGUAGUAAUUCUAGGGCUAACUAAUAGUAAAGUCCCAUUGGGAUGUGUUUAUUAGAAUGAAAACCAUAUGCUUCGGCAUGAUAGUGAGUAAUAGUAACCUAUCGUAUCGCAUGCUUAAAGUAGCGAUGAGUCUUUCAAGUUUCUGCCCUAUCAGCUUUCGAUGGUAGCAUAUGGGUCUACCAUG